rnacentral:rRNA from 1 species
UACGGAGGGUGCAAGCGUUAUCCGGAUUUACUGGGUUUAAAGGGUGUGUAGGCGGGCUUUUAAGUCAGUGGUGAAAUCUCCGGGCUCAACCCGGAAACUGCCAUUGAUACUAUUAGUCUUGAAUUUUGUUGAGGUAGGCGGAAUAAGUCAUGUAGCGGCGAAAUGCAUAGAUAUGACUUAGAACACCAAUUGCGAAGGCAGCUUGCUAAACAAAUAUUGACGCUGAGGCACGAAAGCGUGGGGAUCAAACAGG